rnacentral:rRNA from 1 species
UGCGUAGGGUGCGAGCGUUAAUCGGAAUUACUGGGCGUAAAGUGUGCGCAGGUGGCUGAGCAAGUCGAGUGUGAAAUCCCCGGGCUUAACCUGGGAACUGCAUUUGUGGCUGCGCAGCUAGAGUUUGUCAGAGGGGGGUGGAAUUCCACGUGUAGCAGUGAAAUGCGUAGAGAUGUGGAGGAACACCGAUGGCGAAGGCAGCCCCCUGGGACCUGACUGACGCUCAUGUACGAAAGCGUGGGGAGCAAACAGG